rnacentral:SRP_RNA from 23 species
UAUAUGGCUAGACUGGAGGGUUAGGGGUCCUCUGUAAGCACACACCCCCUUUGGUGCAGUUGAAGUUCAAAAGGCGGCUUUUUAAGGAAUUAUGAGCCUAAGAAAAACGACAUAGAAACUUCGUCCUACAGGAUUGAUGGUGAUGGGACUUUUACUGGAGGGUAAAAGUUAAUUAUCUUAAAUAUGGGAAUGUGUCAGGCCCGGAAGGGAGCAGCUCUACCAUUAACAGUUGAUGCUUGUAGAACCACGGGGUGGAGUUGGGUUUUUUAGAUAACUUGUAGUUUUGAGAUUAGUCCACUUUUGAACAUGCCAUUUU